GAUGAACGCUGGCGGCGUGCUUAACACAUGCAAGUCGAACGAAGCUGUUAGAAGGAAGUCUUCGGAUGGAAUUUUAACAGACUUAGUGGCGGACGGGUGAGUAACGCGUGGAUAACCUGCCUUAUACAGGGGGAUAACGGAGAGAAAUUUCCGCUAAGACCGCAUAAGACCACAGCACCGCAUGGUGCAGGGGUAAAAUAUUAAUAGGUAUAAGAUGGAUCCGCGUCCGAUUAGCUUGUUGGUGAGGUAGAGGCUCACCAAGGCGACGAUCGGUAGCCGGCCUGAGAGGGUGAACGGCCACAUUGGGACUGAGACACGGCCCAAACUCCUACGGGAGGCAGCAGUGGGGAAUAUUGGACAAUGGGGGAAACCCUGAUCCAGCGACGCCGCGUGAGUGAAGAAGUAUUUCGGUAUGUAAAGC
rnacentral:rRNA from 1 species